rnacentral:misc_RNA from 1 species
AACGCACAUUGCACCCUCUGGUAUUCCGGAGGGUAUGCCUGUUUGAGUGUCAUUAAUAUCUCAACACAGAACAGGUUUACUACCUGUGCUGGUUGCUUGGAUGUUGAAGGCUUGCUGGUGUUUUUGAUUGCCGGCUCCUUUUAAAAUCAUUAGCAGAAAACAAUGCAACAAAUCUGGCUUCAGUCUGAUAAAGCACAUCAUCUGUUUUUGCUGUUGCUGGUGAAAAGCUAUUGUUUCAGCUUCUAACUGUCCACUUUGAUGGACUGUCUCAUCAGAGGCAUUGAAUUUUACCCUUGACCUCAAAUCAGGUAGGACUACCCGCUGAACUUAA